rnacentral:rRNA from 1 species
AUACGGAGGAUGCGAGCGUUAUCCGGAUUUAUUGGGUUUAAAGGGAGCGUAGGCGGUUUGCUAAGCGGGAGGUGAAAUGCCGGCGCUCAACGUCGGAAGUGCCUCCCGAACUGGUGGACUUGAAUGACUCUGCCGUGGGAGGAAUGUGUAGUGUAGCGGUGAAAUGCUUAGAGAUUACACAGAACACCGAUUGCGAAGGCAUCUCACGAAGGGUUGAUUGACGCUGAGGCACGAAAGCGUGGGGAUCAAACAGGAUUAGAUACCCUGGUAGUCCACGCAGUAAACGAUGAUGGCUAACCGCUGGUUUAUUCGGAUCAGUGGCCAAGCGAAAGCGAUAAGCCAUCCACCUGGGGAGUACGACCGCAAGGUUGAAACUUAAAGGAAUUGACGGGG